rnacentral:rRNA from 1 species
GACGAACGCUGGCGGCGUGCUUAACACAUGCAAGUCGAACGGAAAGGCCCUGCUUUUGUGGGGUGCUCGAGUGGCGAACGGGUGAGUAACACGUGAGUAACCUGCCCUUGACUUUGGGAUAACUUCAGGAAACUGGGGCUAAUACCGGAUAGGAGCUCCUGCUGCAUGGUGGGGGUUGGAAAGUUUCGGCGGUUGGGGAUGGACUCGCGGCUUAUCAGCUUGUUGGUGGGGUAGUGGCUUACCAAGGCUUUGACGGGUAGCCGGCCUGAAAGGGUGACCGGCCACAUUGGGACUGAGAUACGGCCCAGACUCCUACGGGAGGCAGCAGUGGGGAAUAUUGCACAAUGGGCGGAAGCCUGAUGCAGCAACGCCGCGUGCGGGAUGACGGCCUUCGGGCUGUAAACCGCUUUCGCCUGUGACGAAGCGUGAGUGACGGUAAUGGGUAAAGAAGCACCGGCUAACUACGUG